rnacentral:rRNA from 1 species
UACAGAGGGGGCAAGCGUUGUUCGGAAUUACUGGGCGUAAAGGGCGCGUAGGCGGCCUGUUAAGUCGGACGUGAAAUCCCCGGGCUCAACCCGGGAACUGCAUCCGAUACUGGCAGGCUUGAAUUCGGGAGAGGGAUGCGGAAUUCCAGGUGUAGCGGUGAAAUGCGUAGAUAUCUGGAGGAACACCGGUGGCGAAGGCGGCAUCCUGGACCGACAUUGACGCUGAGGCGCGAAAGCCAGGGGAGCAAACGGG